UUCUCUCCAGUUUGCACCGCUGCGGUUUCAUCAAAGAGGCGACCUGGCUGUCUGUGUCUGUUUAAGUGCGCUGCUUUCAAGUGCACCUCCUGUCACACAUGCUGUCACAGCACAGAGCAGGCCCACUUUGCUCCUCCUUCCCACUCUUAUGAUUUGAUGUUGUACCGUCAUGUGACUCAGCGGCACCAGGCAAACAAGCAAGCAAGCAGCCAGCAGCAACAC